rnacentral:rRNA from 1 species
AUGAAUAAAGAAUCUUCAGCCACACGUAUAGUUGCACUUAAAACUCCAGGAAUGAGAAUUAAUCCUGCUUACAAUUCCAUUUUGAGGUUGUCUAGCAAACAGUCACCUGCAAGGGAAAGUAGCAUCUUGAUUCAGGGAACAUGUUCUUCUGAAGCUAGAAAUAGCACAAAUGGACACUUCAGUCCUGACACUGCAUUACGUACUAAAAGUAGAAGCUGGAUUCAGGAAAAUGUUCAGCAUAACCGCUCACUCAAGUUUCAAUGUGUUCAUCACAUAUGCUUCCUGUGCUCAACUGACUAUACACAUGCAUCUUCCAAAUUUGUACUCAUUUUUAGCCGAGUACAAAUGAAAUAA